GCGGCAGAUGGCGCGGCAGAGGAGGGGAUCCAGUUUUCCCUUUCUUUAGCAUUAGGGUUUGUUGUUCGUCUACGAUAUUAGUUAUGUUCCUGUUGGCAAAUCUUCGGGUUUUCAGAUUCCGGCAUUGCUGACUGGGAAGGUUUUCAUUGUUAUAUCACCGUUGAUUAGCUUGAUGCAUGAUCAGAUGGUGUUUCUUCUGCUUCCUUCCUCGGAUCUGGCAAAACUGAUCAAAGUGUUGAACAAAAGCAAUGGCAGGCAUGUAUAGCAUCAUUUAUGUAUGCCCGCCCUGAACAAUUCUAAGAAAGUCUUGGAAUUGCUCUAUUUGCAGUCGAUGAAGUUCAUUGUGUUUCUAAGUGAGGUCAUGAUUUUCAAUAAGAUUACAGGCGAUUAUGUUUUGAGAGAGAACUUUGGAAUGGAUACCAUGAACUUUCGGAAGUUUGACAUUCCGAUCAUGUCACUGACUGCUAUUGCUACUACUGCUGUUUGAGAAGACAUUCUGCAGUCAUUGCACAUGUCAAAGGCAACACAAAUUGUUCUCACUCCGUUUUUCCGGUCAAAUCUCUGAUUUUCUGUAAAUUAAUCUUCACCGUGCUACGGUAAUUUUUUUUGUUUGGUAUUCGUAGGUGUUCUGCAUUUGCAUUUUGCUGCACCGCUUCAUUCUUAGCUGUCUUCUCUUAUUUAUUCCUUAUUUUGUUUGUUGUGUGUGCAUGUGGUGGGGGUGGGGGAUGUUUGAGGACUCACUUAUUUAUUGUAAAUAAUCCACACAUUAUUUAAACUAAAAUUAAGUUAAAUUCUUCAGAGAAUUCAAUGCUUAAAUUGUGAUUUGUGACAUUAUGUUUGCCUAUCAAUUACAUCCUGUAUUCACACUUAAGGACUAAUUACUACUUCCAUCGAGUGUUUUUAGUUUUAUUUUUGCUACAGUAUUAGUGUUUGAACCUCUUAAGGUACAGUCUUCAUACUCUGUACAUAUGCUGAUAGAAAUAAUAGUAAAUCACUUCAUUUCUGCUGCUUGCAUGUGGAGCAUUGAUAAGAACUUAUUCCAGAAAAGGGAAGUCUUCCUUGAAAAUCCUUUCUGGUGGAGAACUCUGAAAGUUCUGAUAAUGCUUCUAAUGGUUGCAUGGAUGAACACAAUGGGAUCAAUGAGGUUAUGUAGACGACAUUGAGAAGGACGCUGUUUCUGAGCGACAAUGAAGUAUCUUGUCCUGAGAUAUUGGAGAUAUGGUUUACAUUCAUUGAAGGGUAGACAGUUCUGUUUAAAAUCUGGAAAAUGAGUGUGAUGUUGUGCAAGAUGUGGAUGAUUUGAAUGGUCUCUUCAUUUCUUAAAACCAAAUCAGGGAAAUGCUUUUUGUGGGUUUUCCUUAGUCUCUACCAAUGUUGCAGAUUAAGUAAACAUUUCAUCUUUUCGUCCCAGGGCACUUUUUAAAAUUUUCUUGUGGUGAAUUUUGUGGAAAACUACCUCCGAAAGGUUGUACUGGUUUAUGUUGCACAAAAUUCUGAUCUGGCCUAUGAUCCAGAAGAAAGAGCAAAGUUUUGACACGAACCUUUGGAGGAUGGACCAACAAUAAUCUAUGCCCCAAAUAGGAAAGAAACAUUAAGUGUAUGAAAAUCUCUUUCUAAACUUGGGGUCAUGGCUGCUGCUUACAAUGCUAAGAUAAUUUUGCACUGUCGCAUGAUGUAGGAGCAUGUCUUUAGGAUGCAAAAUACCAUAGUUGUGAAAGUGGACUAAAGGUGAUCAUAAACAGCAUGCUGUUCAAUUGGUUUUCUUUCAUGUAAUUAGUUGCCAAAAUCACAUCUGAGGCAGGUGCAUAAGGAAUUUCAUGAGAACACUCUGCAGUUGUUGAUAGUUGCUAUAAUAAGAUGAAUCCAGUGCAAAGGUUUUCUGCUGAAUUUUUUACAAAGGCCAUUGUCGCAACAAUUGCCUUUGGGAUGCACAUUGACUAGUUGAAUGUGUGAAGGAUCAUUAACUAUGGUUGGCCCCAGAGUCUGGAGGCUUAUUAUCAAGAGGCUGGUCGGGAUGGAAAAGUAGCAGAGUGUGUUCUGUAUGCAAACUUGUCGAGAUCACCUAUGCUUCUACCAAGUGAAUGAAGUGAGGAGCAGACAAAGCAAACAUAACAUGGUCCAUGCUCUGAAAGCAAAUCCCAAGUCCCAUAUCCAGGAGAUUGGAGGGUCCUUGAUUUUUUUCUCUCAUCACCCUGAAAGCCUGCACAUGAUUGGUCCCACAAGGUUACAUGCAUAUGGACGGGUCUGGUGUCCACACGUCCACAUUGAUUAACAGGGCUGGGAAAUCAAGUUAUGUGAAGUUCCACUGGAAGCCCACAUGUGAUCUCAAGUCCUUGUUGGAAGAAGAGGCAAUCCGAGUUGGAGGAGCAAAUCUCAGCCACACUACUCAAACCUCUAUGACACUAUUGCAGCUGGAAAUUAUCCUGAAUGGAAGCUCUUCAUUCAGACUAUGGAUCCAGAUCAUUAAGACAGCUUUGACUUUGUUCCACUCCUGGUAGUACUUCUCUUAUGAUGUCAAUGUAGCGUUGAGGUGAAUUGUCUUUUCAACCUUCUUCUGACUGCUUCUAUGUACCAUUAGAAGUUAACUAACAGCCUACCUGUUUAUUUCAAUUUAGAACUACUACUUGGGAUAAAAAUUAUCAUUAUACUACCUAUUAAAUUGUGUUUUAGCAUUUUAGAGGAUCCUUUUUUCCUUUUUACCCAUUGACUUAGUACGGAAAGUAUUUGGUUUAGUGGAGGAGAUGGUAUCUCGAGCUUACAAGCAGUAGCAUUUACACAAAAUUUAAGCCCUCAAAGUCUUCAUCCUGGUGGCUGACACUUCAGUUUAUCCGAUGAUUUGAGAUGCAAUUCUACUAAAAUUGAGUAUCUUCUAUUGGGUAUAUUGCUUUUGAAUGCUGAACGAGUUGUUGAACACUAACUGUCACUUGAAUGUCUUAUCUUGAGAUCCAAUAUGUUAUCUCUUUCAUCAAUGCAUGAAUGAUGAAGUUUGGCAAUGAGGAGAUAUGACAGUGCAGAUCCAGUGAAGGAUCCUGUACUGCGCGAGGAGGGAAUCCAAAUUUUCUUUCCCUUUCUUUUAAAGCAAGGGUUUUUACUGUUGUUGUCUCCGUAGAGAAGCAAUCAACAGCAUCUACAACGUUGUUGGAAAAGGUCUGUUGUAUGAAUCUUUUGUUUAUUCAAUUCUUGAUUGUUCACUAGUUUUCAAUUUUGUUGUGAUUGCAUUUACAUAACAAGAGAGAUGGUAUGAAAUACAGCUGUUGGUGGAAAAAGUAAACAGUUAGUGUAAUUGGGAAUAUCAUUUGGCAAUAAUUGGGAAAUUAUUUUAAUAAAGGUAUGUUGUGAGAACUUCUUGUUAAUUCAAUUCUUGAUUGGAGUUAGAGAAUUGUUAGAUUAUCAAUUUUAAUUUUUAAGUGAUUGCAGCAUCAAAUCAAGAAAACUGGAACACUUUCUGUUCUUAAAAUUGUUCUUGUUAGUCAAUUCUUGAUUGAAGUUAGAGAAUUAUUAGAUUAUCAGUGUUAUUUUCAAGUGAUUGCAGCAUUGGAUCAAGAAAACUGAAACACUUUCUGACCUUAAAAUUGUUCUUGUUAAUUCAAUUUCUUGAUGAGAAUUAUUAGAUUACCAGUACAAUUUUCUACCUUGAAAUUUUAUUGUUAAUUUCAUCCUGGAUUGAAGUUGGAGAACUAUUAGAUUAUCAGUACACUUACCUACCUUGAAAUUUUAUUGUUAAUUCAAUCUUGAUGGUGCGAUUGAUUAUCUACUCGAUGAUUCUCAAAGAAACACUGCGAGUGCAUCCACUAGUAUUGCAUGUUUCAGCCGCCGUGCUGGUAUGCUAGGAAAAAGAGGCUCCUCUUCUUCAUCUUGUUCUGCAGGCAACAUGCGGAAAUCAAGCAUAAACAUAUGCAUUCAAUCAGCAAUUAGACCUAAAUGAAGCAAGACAAUAAAUAAGUUGAAUAUGUCCAUCAGAAGUCUUGCAAAUAGAUACUGGAGGUCGAAAUGUGCAUUCUCCUCUAGAGGAUUUUGAUCUCCACGUUGCAAUUGAAAAGGCUGUAUCAUCAUCUUAUUGCAAAGAUGAAGAUAUUGGACAAGAUUGGCAAAAGGAGGUCCGCAAUUUGUUGCAGAAACACUUUGGACUUUCAUUGUUGAAGGAGUUUCAGAAGGAAGAUCUAGAAAGCUUGGUUGUCUCACCGAGACUGUCUUGUUCUUGCAGCAACAGGAUCAGGGAAAUCUUUGUGUUUUCAGAUUUCGGAAUUGCCGACUGGGAAGGUUGUAUUGAAAUAUUGGACCAGAUUGGCAAAAGAAGGUCAAGAGUUUGUUGCAGAAACACUUUGGACUUUCAUUGUUGAAGGAUUUUUCAGAAGGAAGCUCUAGAAGGUUGAUUGUCUCACCAAGACUGUCUUGUUCUUGCAGCAACAGGAUCAGGUACUUGCCCUUGACACUUUUUCUUUCUUCACUAUUCUCUCCAUUCCUGUUAAAUAUGAUUUUCGAUGUCUCGGAGUUAUGUUUCUUUAGGGAAAUCUGUGUUUUCAAAUUCCGGCAUUGCUGACUGGGAAGUUUGUCAUUGUUAUAUCACCUCUGAUUAGCUUGCUGCAUGAGCAGUGUUUGAAGUUAGCAAAACAUGGUGUUUCUGCUUGCUUCCUUGGAUCUUGUCAAACUGAUCGAAGUGUUGAACGAAAAGCAAUUGCAGGCAUGUAUAGCAUCAGUUAUGUAUGCCGUGAGACAAUUCUAAGACUCAUAAAACUCCUCCAAAGCCUUGCAGAAAGUCAUGGCAUUGCUCUAGUUGCAAUCGAUGAAGUUCAUUGUGUUUCUAAGCAGGGAUAUGAUUUUCCACCAGAUUACAGGUUUAUAUUCUUCUAUUUGUUUUAUAAAUUAGACCAAUGCUAUUUUUGGAAAUUGAUCAAUAAAUUUGAGCCCUGAGUAAGUCCUUUGAUAUAGAUAAAUCCUAUAGUCUCUUUUCCUAGAGUGCAAAUAAAUAAGAAGGAACUUGUUAUCCUUCCAUACAGUUUACAUACCAUAAGGACCAAGCCAACUACAAUCUUUGCAGGUGGUACUUCACAUUGGGUGUGGGGGUGGGGUGGGCUGACCUUCCAAAUUCUGGUUCUAUGUUUGUUUAGGCACUUGAUCAGUUGAAGCUCAAGGAGUCUCUGCUGUUUUUGUUACUACUGAUCAUGGUACUGAUUGCUACUGCCACUACUCGUGUUCGAUAAGACAUUCUGCAGUCAUUGCACAUGUCAAAGGUGACACAAGUUGUUCUUACUUCGUUUUUCCUGCCAAUCUCCGAUUUUAUAGUUAAUUAAUCUACACCUUGCUACGGUAAUUUUUUCGGUUUGGUAUUCCUUGUAUGUUCUGCAUUUGCAGUUGCUGCACCAUUUCAUUCUUCGCUUUGUUUCUCUUAUUUAUUUUCUUAUUUUGUUUGUUGUGUGUGUAUUAGGGGGGGGGGAGCUGGGAAGGGGCAUACUUAUUUAUUGUUAAUCAUCCAUUUGUAUACAUACUCGAGAACUAAAUUACUACUUUCUUUUACUAGUUAUGGUAUUUAAACUAGAUCCUUAAUCUUUGUGUCACUUUAAUCCUGCAGUGCAUAAAGUUUGGUUUUGAUACACUUGCACCAAAUGCUCUGUUAUUCAACUUAAUUUAUCCAGAAGAGUCAUGUUUAUCUAUAGAUCUGAGACAUCGGCUUCCAAGAGGAGGGAGGCACUACAUGUAUUUUUAUGCUGUUUGAUUUUUUUUUGUAUGUUGCUAUUUUCAAUGAUACAGAAUGUGUGCAGAUAGGUCUUAUAAUACGGUACCUCCAGAUGUGUCUCAAUUAGUUAAUUUUAGUGGUACCUUUAACGACAAUAAGCGCAUCUGGUGUAGUGGUAUCAUAGUACCCUCCCACGGUACUGACCGGGGUUCGAUUCCCCGGAUGCGCACUCUAUUCUUUUUUUUACUACAAUUUUUAGCAUUAUUCCUUUCUGGAAUAUAAUUCACUUCAAGCAAGGGAUGUGUGAAGUUAUGCCCCUAUUGAUGCAAAGCAAAGAAUCAAUUCCCCUUUCUAUUGUUUUACUUUAACAACAAGAAGUCAGCUACUUCAGAUGAGUUCUCAACAGAGCCUCAAUGUAUUUUAACAACUUCACCCUCGCAAUUAUAGGCUUUACAUCAUCAUUCUUACUAUACUUGCCAAUCUUGAGGAGAAGGCAAAAGAAGGAAAUAGCAGCAGAGAAAUUGAGGAUAGUCACAGAAGCAUUAGAACAAGCAGAGGAUAGAGUCUUAAGGUAUGAAGAAAGACACAGCAAGAUACUUAACCAAAUAUGUUCACAUUACAUUGUAAGUCAAGAAAUAGUAGAAGCACUUUCUGGUGCUCGAGAAGCGAUGAAUGAAGCAUUAGAAUUUGCAAUUACUCUCAGAAAUCUACAGCUAGAAAUUAUCAGAUUGUACCCUGAUCAAUAUGAAAGUGCUUCAAGGCCUGUUUGGUUAAUUGGAAAAUCAAGAAGACAAAGGAACAAUAAUAAUUAGCAUA